CUUUCUUGAUUCGGUGGGUGGUGGUGCAUGGCCGUUCUUAGUUGGUGGAGCGAUUUGUCUGGUUAAUUCCGAUAACCGAACGAGACUCUAGCCUGCUAACUAGGCGAUUUUCCGGUACCCACAAUUGUGUUACCGGCGAUUCAAUUUCUUCUUAGAGGGACAGGCGGCUCCUAGCCGCACGAGACUGAGCAAUAACAGGUCUGUGAUGCCCUUAGAUGUCCUGGGCCGCACGCGCGCUACACUGAAGGAAUCAGCGUGUCUUCCCUGGCCGACAGGCCCGGGUUAACCCGUUGAACCUCCUUCGUGCUAGGGAUUGGGGCUGGCAAUUGUUCCCCAUGAACGAGGAAUUCCCAGGUAAGCGCGAGUCAUAAGCUCGCGUUGAUUACGUCCCUUCCCUUUGUACACACCGCCCGUCGCUACUACCGAUUGAAUGAUUUAGUGAGGUCUUCGGACUGGUGCGCGGCGAUCGGUUCCGCCGGUCGCCGAUGUCUGCCGGAAA
rnacentral:rRNA from 1 species